UUCAGAUCGCCAGGUAUUAUA
rnacentral:miRNA from 1 species